GAGUCUUUAGCCAGGACCCAAGGAGCUCAAACCAGAGGAAGCACCGUUCAGGUGUGAAACUUGUUGUUUGUCUCGGAACCCUCCACACCUCAUGCCUUGUUUUUCCUUAUGAAAAUCUUGGAAAAAUAAAAACCUCAUCAUUGCAACUACAGAGGAGACCAUACCUCGCACUCUACAAAAAUCUUUACACACAUUCAGAUUUGUACUGCAUUGACCUAUUUUCUGGCCUCAUUUCAAGCCUCCCCUGAUUCCUCCGCAGAAUCUUCCUCCGUCCUUCAUCUUCUACAGUUCUGAUGACCCAAAUACAACCUUUCAUAUACUUAAAUAGCAGGACCGGUUCCCCCCGUUCGCUCCCCUCCUCAGCAUAUUUAACCCCGUGUUCUUCACACACAGCACAUGUCCCCAGUGAACCGAGAUCUGAAGAUGUUCUGCUCCUCGCAUCAAAUCCAGCAGUGACUGUCAGGAUGAAAGGAAAGAAGAAUCUUCAGAACUCAGGGUAGUGGAGAGAGACAGUCGGCUUAAGAUUCAAGCGUGAUUGUCACGUCCUUGCCAGCUCGCUGACAUUGUCCCGGAGUCAUCAUGUACAAGUAAAGGGGCCGACUCCAGGGCGCCAAGUAAAAACCGGUGCCAAUUGCAAAAUGAACAUAUCCAGUUACAGCAAAAAGAGAUAAACCAACAUUGUCAGGGGCGACACGCAGAUACGCCAGAAGGAGAAUAACCUUGAAAUACAAGAUGGCCGCUGGACCGCGCUUUGUUGGCAUCAGUUUGCUGUUAUAAGAUAAAGAUUUUAGUGCCGCACGUUAUGGGCCUAAGGGCUCAGUCACUUUGGGCGGCAACUUUACUGCAGAUUUAAGUGCAACGGAACAUGUUGUUUUUGGUUUUUUUUUAAAUAAAACCUAUUUUCUGCAUCAUGGAUUUUGCUACAGAUCUGCAGCAUUUCUGCAACAAAAUCUACAACACCUGUGGAAUUUUCAGACUCUUCCAUUACAAAUCCUGUCGGUAGCUCGAUUUUCUGCACAUUUUGGACGACACAAGAAGUAUCCACUGUGGAAAAUCCGCACCCGC